rnacentral:SRP_RNA from 1 species
GCUGGGUAUGGUGGUGCGUGCCUAUAAUCCGAGCUACUCAGGAGGCUGAGGCAAGAGAAUUGCUUGAACCCGGGGGGCAGAGGUUGCAGUGAGCUGAGAUAGUGCCACUGCACUCCAGCCUGGGUGACAGAGCAAGACUUUGUCUCAA